AUACGGAGGAUGCAAGCGUUAUCCGGAUUUAUUGGGUUUAAAGGGUGCGUAGGCGGUUUGCUAAGCGGGAGGUGAAAUGCCGGCGCUCAACGUCGGAAGUGCCUCCCGAACUGGUGGACUUGAAUGACUCUGCCGUGGGAGGCAUGUGUAGUGUAGCGGUGAAAUGCUUAGAGAUUACACAGAACACCGAUUGCGAAGGCAUCUCACGAAGGGUUGAUUGACGCUGAGGCACGAAAGCGUGGGGAUCAAACAGGAUUAGAUACCCUGGUAGUCCACGCAGUAAACGAUGAUGGCUAACCGCUGGGCUUAUCAGUUCAGUGGCCAAGCGAAAGCGAUAAGCCAUCCACCUGGGGAGUACGACCGCAAGGUUGAAACUUAAAGGAAUUGGCGGGG
rnacentral:rRNA from 1 species